rnacentral:lncRNA from 1 species
UUUUUUUUUUUUUUUGUCCGCUGUAAAAGUUGAGUAAGUCAAUUUCAAACUAAGAUACAUAGCACAUAAGUCUCCUACAUUUUGCUAGCAUUAGUAAGUUGGGGUGCCUCGGUGCUCGGUACACAAUGUCGGUGUUUAGCCUAACUAUUAAAAAGUGAUUCUAGGUCCAAAAAUAAUUUUCGAUUCAAUAGAGCAUUUGACAAUCUCGUUUUUAAAAUCUGACUCUAAUUUUUAUAAGUAGUUUUUUUUAUUUUCGAAAUUCAAAAUUAGAAGCAGCUAAGACCUGAUUUUUAGAAUAAAUUUUUUGAUUUUCGAGACCCAAAUUUAAAAAAUAACUAAGACUCGCUUCUUGAAAUCUAAUUCUGAUUUUGAACUCAGAUUUUAAAAUUGUAUUUUAAUUUUAGAUUUAAAUUUUAAAUUUAAAUUCAAAUCUACUUUUUAAAUUUUAUAUUUUUAUGCAAAUUUAAGAUGGAGAAUUUCAAAUUUAAAAAUUUAAAUUGAAAUUAAAAAUUUAAAUUUAAAUUUAAUAAUUUAAAUUUAAAAUUUAAAAUUAUUUUUAAAUAAAAUUUAGUAAAAAGAUUAUUAUAUGAAAAUAUCAAAAAAAUUUUGCCAAACAUUUUUUUCAAAACUACUUCAGAAAAAUUAUUUUCAUCUAAACUUUGCGAGACACUUUAUAAUUUUUAAUCAAAAUUAAUUCUCCAAACCAGAAUUAAUUUUAUAAAAAUUACUUUUUGCAGAAUUUAGGCCACAUAAAUGCUGCAAAAAGGGUCUCGUUGGUUGGAUUGAUGAUUAAUGGCAAUGUAGACGUCCUGGAGGAGAGAUCCAACGGUGGGUGGCUGAGCUGGACUCAUCGGACGGCUGCGAUUGGGCGGGAAGUGGUCACAAUUGGGGCAAAAUCAGUAAUUACUUAGCGGAGGUAAUUAAUAAGCUGUUACAGCUCCCACCAACCUGCGUGGUAUCGUCCUCGCUAAUUAAUUUGCGCCACGCGUCCAAUUAGGUGGUACAGCAUGGCCUCUGUACCCCUUUUUCCCCCUUUUUUUUUUUUUUUUCCUUGUUUUCAUUUUCAUUCGGCUUCAUUCUCACUGUAUAUGAUGGAUAGAAAAUUAAAAUAAUUAAUAUAUGCUGGUGUAAUUACCCACGUGAUGUGGCAGAUAGGUAUAUUAUCGAAGUAAUUUUUUUAUAUUAUAGUUGAUUAACAAUGAUAGUCAGAAAUUAUAUAUACAUACAUAUAUAUCUAUACUAGUUAUAAAGGAGGGGGUUUUAAAAUUAAUUGAGAAUUAAAAUUUCUAUAUCCAAGUGAGAACACUUUUUAUAAAUCAAUCAUAUUAGCGAGUACACCAGAACAGUAGAGUGUUCUGAGUAUCGUAGGUAGUUAGUAUCGCUCUUUUUUUUUUAUCUUUAAGGCACUCUAAUUCAUUUCUUUCGUUUUUAUUUUAUUACAAUAAAAUAUAGGAUAAAAUAUGAUAUGAUUUAUUUUAGGAUAAAAAAUAUAUAUAAAUUCAAAAUCAAGCAUGAUCACUUACUUGAGAGCUAAUAGUCAAUCCAUAAAUAACAUAUUAUAAUAAAAUAAUUUAUAGUCAGGAGCCCUAUAGGAUAAAUUGCACUGCUACCUCCUGAAUUUUUGACGAGUUUCACUUAACCCCCCAAACUCCUAAAAUAGAUAUCUAACAUACUAAACUUUAAUAUUUCAUUCGCUUUACCCCUUCCGUCAGUUUCCGGUUAACAGAGCUUGACGGAAAAUUGACGGAAUGGAUAAUAUGAAUGAAAUAUUAUAGUUUAGGGUGUUAAAUGUCCAUUUUAGGAGUUCAAGGAAUAAAGUGAAACUUCGCUAAAAGUUCAGAAAGUAACAAUACAAUUUACUCUAUAUAUAUAUAUAUAUAUAUAUAUAUAUAUAUAUAUAUAUAUAUNCUAGAUCAUGUUCAACGGUGCCGAUCGUCGAUUUGGAAGCUCUAUCAUCAAAAACAAAUCGGUAGUAAACCGAGCAGUUUGCUACCGAUGGUAGCCCAGUCACUCUCUCUCUCUCUCUCUCUCUCUCUCUCUAUAUAUAUAUAUAUAUAUAUAUAUAUAUAUUACUCUAAAUAGAGAGAGAGAUUUGGAGAGAGGUGGAAGUCGACAACACCGAUGCCAUCGUCGGCCUUAUCAAUGACGUGUAUAAUGUCACGCCCCGGAUUACACUUUCCCCGGGCACGCCGACAAAUCCGCCGUAUACAAAGGAAUUUCCCCUGUAUACGAAGCGAUAGCUGUACCUGUAAAUCAAACACUACUACAAACAGUAGUAGAGAGCUGCUAGAGAAAACUGAAGCUAAAUAAAACAGAGUUUCAUAUACAUAGAUCAGAUCCAAAAUACAGAGCUACUCGCACUGGCGAGUUAAGUCAACUAUGUACAUAAACUCGAAACAAAACAUCUACCUGCAGUAGGGCACCUCUAGCUCAGCACGUCGGGUAGGGCUCUAACUCGCGACGCCCUUGCCUCGAUCCUGGUCCGCAGACGGUGCAGCAGCCGAAGCCGGUGGCUCUGCAAAAACAUAGGUAACAACUGGGCGUGAGAACUACUGUAAAAACAAGUAGUCCUCAGUGGGUACCGCCCAAAACAACAUCGGUCACCCACUAAGUCUACAGAAGGGAGUAAGGAUAGAAGGAAAGCAGGAAGCAUACUCUACCGCUAUCACCCACUACACUAUCAUGCUCUACACUAACCCACUGUAGGAAAUGUCAAAUCUGACCCAAUCCAAGUCGGGACUGUAAGCAUACCCGUCCCCGGGACUGUGAAUACACCCGUCCCUGCCCCGUUGCGACUAUCGGGCUCUAUCCACUCUAACUGGUCCGUGGAGAGCAAGUCCAACUGGCAUGAGCGACACCAACGCAAAAGCACAAGCCUGACUCCGGAGUGGCACUCGUGGGCGCUACCCAACCGAGUAUGCAGCGUAUCUCUGUCGAGCUCAAUCAGUCGCUCCAGACCUAGCCAGACUCAAGGUAGUCGACUCCUAAAUGGUUUAUAACCAACAGGUAACGUCCCUCGGCACCAAACUGACGCAAAGCAAAGGCGAUACACGGGUCCCCACCGUCCAACUCUGACGCACCCAAACAGUCGGAACAACCUGAACGACCCCUGUAAAAAUGCCACCCGGCGAACCUAGCACGAGUUAAAAAUGGCGUAAAAAAACGGUGGUGUAAAUUUAAGGGGUAUGGUUAAAAGGUAAAAAAAUGUGGCUAAAAUACAUUCAAACUACCUGCGAGUACUCGUCUCGAAGCAACUGCGACAAGUACAAUUUUCUGACGGCUCCUAGAGAUAAAUCAAGGUAGUUAAAACUGGUGACAGGUCCAAAUCGCAAGUUUUCCCUAAUUCAAUUUCCAAGUCCAACAUGUAUAAUCUAAUUACUUAAUAAAAUAAUGCUCGCCAAAUUCAGAUUUGCAUUCUAGAUAAUAAGUCAUGAAUUUGAGCCUAAACUAUUGUAAAGAAAUACGAUUUUAUACAUGUCGACUAAUAAUACUUAGGAGUAAUACGAUAGAACCCACCUAAGUGCUAUCUCCGCCAGCAAACGAACGCCUCGGCCUAGAAGGAAACUCUGCGGAUCAAUCGGGGAUCUCCAAGGUCCGGUCGGCCAAGCCAACGCCUAAGCUAGAGACGACAAAAAUCCACCAAUUCAGUCCCCGUUCACACAGACCUGAGAAAGGUUCCAGUUUUGACCAAUGCUAAACUUGUCCAAUAAUAUGCAUAAUUGAGGCUCUGUGGUAUAUCGCUCGCUGUCUAGAAUUCCAAUAACCAGUUUUUUCGGUUCCGCGAUCCGACGCUCCUACGCGGAGAACGAGCCGAAAUACUAACAGUCGACGCAGGAAAUCUGUGAAAAUCAGCACUAUGCUCGUUUGAAGAUGGUUGAGGUACUCGAGGUAAUUGCGACCAAAUUACCUACCUCAACAGCGAUGAACAGCGGUGCGGCGGACAGGAAACGGCGAAGACGCACCCUCGCCCGGCCGCUCGCAGCGCCCGGCAACACGUGCGCUCGAUUGGCUCGCGGCGCGACUCGGCGACGAAGUCCUCAACCGUUGCUCCGAUCGGCCUAGAGAGAGAGAGAGGGAGAGGAGAUGGUGAAAACUCUCUCUCUCUCAGCCCAAUCCACAGAUAAAUAGAGAGAGGGAAAGAGGGUGACAUGAACGAGGUGGAAUUUUACUGAUUUAGCCCUCCACCAACUCCCUUGUACCGGUACACGGAUUGCUGUACCGGUACAAGGCCAAACCCGAGAGCAUCUGAGUUCUGUCGCACGCUCUGUACCGGUACAAAUGGACCCUUGUACCGGUACAGCAAGCGUCUUUCCAUGAUGGUUGUACCGGUACAGCACAACCUUGUACCGGUACAACAGAGUAAAAAUCCUGCAAUUUCGCAGAUUUUCACACAGAAUGCUGCCCUCGCGUCAAACGGAGUCCGUUUCGCGUCUAUUUGACGCCAACGCAACUCGAGCUUGUCUCGACACUCUCCAGAGCUGUCGACAAGUCCCCACUGACAGAAACUGGGUCUCACAUAUAAUGUAAUGGAGGGGGGGUUGAAGGGCUCCAUUGAUUAUGCCCAUGGCAUUAGGAGAGGAAACGGUAGACGUUUUAGACUUCGAAAAAAAAGAAGGUAAAUUGGAAGGAUCCCUGUUGAAAAGUAUGUCAUUCUCAUUUUCUCCACAAUUACUCUAUUAAAUGAAAAAUGUGAAGAGAUUAUUCUAUUAAAUAGAAAGUUAAAUGCUAUUAUUCCAUUAAAUGGAAAGGUUAGGAGAUUAUUUGAUUAAAUAGAAAGGUAAAUAGAAGAUGAAAGGAUUAGUCUAUUAAAUAAGAAGGUAAAUGGGAAGGUGAAGAAACGACACUGUGAGAUAAAUCGGAUACAUGAGAGGAAGUAUCUGGUAGAGGUGGGCCUAAUAUUCAACCCAAAGGAUGAAGGAGGUGAUAAUAACACUGGUAGCUAGAUAGGCCCAAGUUCAACAGAAUUAAUCUUUCACGUCGGAUAAAAGUUAUAGGAAUUAAUAGUUUUACUAGUGUAGAUACCCGCAGGAUGCAGCAGGUAGAUAAUUGAAACAAAAUUUUAAAAUUUUAAUAAAAUUUAUAUUUACAAUUUAUUGAUGUAUAGGAAGCUAUACCAGGUUAAGCACAGCCAAUUUGCAUUACUAAAUUCAAUUGUUAAAAAAAUAAAAUUAUAGCUAGAAGCUUAUAUAAUUUUUUAAAAAUUAUCGAAAUAUAGUAAGAGAUAUACAAUUUUAUCAUAUUAUGUGCCUUUUGAACAUUCCAUUGUAAAAGAUAAAAAAGAGCCAGCUCUAGUUGAAUCAAGCACCUCUGUUUAAGUAUCAAAACAGAUUGAGAAUAUGAAACACUUAAAUAAUAAGUUAAUGUAUCUGGCUUAAGAAAAUUUUGGGUGAGAUCUCAGGCUCCAAUCUCUACAUCAUAUUUUUUAGUUUAUGAAAAGAACUUGACCUACAAUAGUGCCUACUCAAAAAGAUGGUCAUGGGAUGAAAAUAAAACAAAACAUAAAUUAAAAAAAAACUAAUAAUUUUUUGGAGCACUUUUUCAUCCACGCGAGCUUACUCAUCCAAAUCUCAUACAUCUUCUUAAUUUUCAACUGGUAGUUGCUCCCCGCGCUAAGUUGCUUUUGGAUUUCCAUUGCCACCUAUGAACAAACACCUCAUCUGCAUCACCAAACUGUGACAUCUAAACCAACAUAGCCUUGCUAUCACAUCAACCAGAAACUCUAAUUCCCAAACAAUUUGGAUUUAUCAAGAAAUUCCUACAAUUCUCGAGAAGCGAGCUCCCGCACAGCGUCCCCUUGAAGAGGAGGCUUAGGACGCCGCUCGCCUCGGCCCAGUUGUGGGCGCACGCGAGCCGCACGAGGAGGCAGCCGAGGCGGCGGCUGUUCACGGCUAGUAGGGACCCCAACGCUGAUGGCCUAGUGGACACUUAUAUAGGCCCCGGCUCGACUUCGUAGGACGAUGCUUCUUGAAGGAGGGAACAUUCUUUGCAUACUUUUCUUCUUCUUCUUAUGUUUUUUCUUCUUCAUUGUCCUCAUUAUUUUCAUUAAUACAAUGAGAGAGAGAAAUAUGAGCAUGGUGGUGGGAGAUUAGAUGAUAAUGUUGCAUGGAAAAUAACAGGCCAUGCAAAAGAGAGAGGGCGGGGAGAUUAAUGGAGGAGGGGAAUGAAUUGGAGUUAUAAAACCCACUCAUUAGUGGGGGACAGGAUUAAUGGAGAAGGGGAGUGGACUGGAGUUAUAAAGCCCACUUAUUAGUGAAAUAUAGUGUGGGCGUGUUUGGUUAGCUUCUUUUUUACCAUGAAAUUGGAAUCGGAAUCGGAAUGGGCGAAUUUGUUUGUAGGUGUUUGGUACAUAGGAGUUCCAUUCCGAUUCCAAUUCCUGAGUGGAAUGGGAAUCCCCCAAUCACCCCUUUUCCAAUCCGGCCUAGGAGGCCGGAUGGGAAGUUGGAUCCAUACGGAAUAGACAUUUAUUAGGAUUAAAUUUAUUUUUUCAACUUUUUUAAUUAAAAUAUGAGUUUAAAUUUAGAAAUCAAAUAUAUAAUUUUAAAUUUUAAUUUGAAUUUGAAUUAAAAAUUAAAAUUUCAUCAAGUAUUUCGAAUCUAACUUAUGAAUUUGAAUUUAAAUUAAAUUUUAAUUUAUAUAAAGUUUUAUUCAAUUUUAUUUAAACUUAAAUUAAAUUUAUGGACUCAAAUUAAAAUUUAAAUUAUAAUUUUAAGUUUGAAUUUGAAUAAAUCAAAAUUUAGUUUCAUAUUUUGAAUUAUCCACUCAACUUCAAAGUUUAUUUUUUUUAAAAAAAAAAUAGAUUUAAAAUUUUGACAUUAUUUCAAAAUUUUGAUGUAAAUUUUUAAUAUUUAAUUUUCAAUUUGAAUUUAAAUUAAUAUAUUAUAAAGAUAAAGUUAGUAUAUUAAUUUGAUUACGUUUUUUAUAUCUACCUGAAUUAACCAAAUACCGAUAAUAGGAAUGAUUUAUUUCGAUUUCGAUUUAGGUGAUGAACCAAACAGAAUUAGGUAAUGAGUCAUUCCGAUUUCGAUUCCAUCUUAUUUCGAUUCCGAUUCUGAUUCCGAUUCCGAUUUUGAACCAAACACGCCCUGUAUGUAAUUAAAUAUUACACCAUGAAUUGAUUAAUUUAAUCUCGAGGUGAGUGCUAGGAAAAUCACCAUUGAAAGAGAAAGAGCCAAGAAAGAGCCAAUGAAGGGAGGAAUUCUACACUGUCACACUUGCAGCACGUUAUCAAUAACAAGCCAAUCACAUUCCUUCUUUUCAAAUAAAAGUACAAUAAAAAUACUUUUUUAUAAUCAUGAUGGGACAUAUAUUCUUAAAAGGAUUAAUUUGAUUGGUUUGUUACGCCACGUCACUAAUAUACCCGUUGUAUUCUAGAAUUUUUCCAAUGAAGGAGGUAGCGCCACGUUGGAUAAGCAAUCGAGGUUUAAUAGAGGGUUAGAGAAGAUAUAGAUUAGGUUGUAAAU